rnacentral:rRNA from 1 species
GUAGUCCUUGCCGUAAACGAUGUAUACUUGGUGUAGCCGGAAUCAACCCCGGUUGUGCCGGAGCUAACGCGUUAAGUAUACCGCCUGGGGAGUACAGUCGCAAGGCUGAAACCCAAAAGAAUUGACGGGGACCCGCACAAGCAGUGGAGCAUGUGGUUUAAUUCGAUGCAACGCGAAGAACCUUACCCAGGCUUGACAUGCAGUGGACAGCGCCAGAAAUGGCGCCUUCCUUCGGGACCGCUGCACAGGUGCUGCAUGGCUGUCGUCAGCUCGUGCCGUGAGGUGUUGGGUUAAGUCCCGCAACGAGCGCAACCCUUAUCGUUAGUUGCCAACAUUUUAGGUGGGAACUCUAGCGAGACUGCCCGGGUUAACCGGGA